CAGUGGUUCCCGUAAUAGUAGGUCUCAUUUUGUUUCCGGUUUGUUCCUAGCAACAUCAAAAGUUCCUAGCAACAGUCAACCAGCAUCAGUGGAUAAGUGUUCGGCUGUUUCACUCCCCUCUUUAUUUUUAUUUUUCCCCCGCCGUAUUUUAAAUUUCGGAUCUUUCUCGGUCGCCCUUCGCAGUAUCAUCGUGUAACGCAAGUUAAUCCCCGAGCCGGCGGCGCGAAGCGCCGUGCGAGGGUACUAAUUCCCCCCGGC